GUGCAGAAGAGGAUAUGUUUGUUCCCAAUACUGAUUUCCAUUCGACUUUGUCAGCUGAAAUUAUUUACUUGCAGUUGAUUUUCAAUGAAUGGUACAUCU